UACAGAGGGUGCAAGCGUUAAUCGGAAUUACUGGGCGUAAAGCGUGCGUAGGUGGUUUUUUAAGUCAGGUGUGAAAUCCCUGGGCUCAACCUAGGAACUGCAUUUGAUACUGAAGAGCUAGAGUGUGGUAGAGGAUAGUGGAAUUCCCGGUGUAGCGGUGAAAUGCGUAGAUAUCGGGAGGAACAUCAGUGGCGAAGGCGGCUAUCUGGACCAACACUGACACUGAGGCACGAAAGCGUGGGUAGCAAACAGG
rnacentral:rRNA from 1 species